UGAGGGGAGCUGUGGGUGCACAGCACAGGACAGAUGGAGUGGGUGGGACAUGACAGUUUUCGUCUGUGGCAUCAUUUUGUUGUUGCUAUUGCGAGUGAGCAAAAUAAAGCUACUGCUACCGUGAUCAUUUCUUUUGGACCCCCCCAGAUAAGGUGUGUUGCUUCUCCCUCACGCUAGGCCCUGCUGCUUGGGCAUGUAGACACCCUCUUUCCUAUGUAACAAACAUUGUUAGUCAGCUUGGGAGCACUUUAAUAUUUACAAUUGCACUCAUAUAGAAUUUCACCAGUCUUUUGUAUAAAAACAGAAUGAAACGUACUCCUCUUCGUAAGCAGACUAUUUUGACAUGAAUUAAUGGUCUGUCCUCUCUGAGAUCUCAUAUCGUAAACCCAAACACGUGAAACUCUAGAUGCAAAAGGGAAUUAAUUUUUUUUCAAGAGGAGGGAAAUUUUUUUUUUUGGUACCAGUCAAAAAUUCUACUCAAAUUCAAGGGGAAUUGCUUUAAACUGUCAAAAAUUAUGAUUUGCAAGUUUCAGUUUUUAUCUUGGAAUGGUCCUAAUUUACACAUAAGUAUUGUAGGAGUUCACUAUUGUAAAGGUUCCUGUUGAAGAAUAAAGCCUUUACCACAGAAAAUCACUGUCAGAUGGCAUACACAGACAUUCUGAGAAAAAGUUAAAACUUUAAGAAGACGAAAAAGGGGAAUUCAGGACAGCAUGUGGGAGGGAAGAUGGGAGUUCUUUUUAUGCACAAAAAGAUCCAUUAACAAUAUCUUUAUCAGCUUCCUUCUUCCUUGUUAAGUGAACCAACUUGCAGUGCCCAGAAUAUGGAAACGUGAUUGCAAAUAAAUGAUUUUGGGGGAAAAGGAGCGAGUACAUAAGAGAAUCGCUGGUAGUUAAUUCAUGGCAAGACAAGAUUUGCCUGCAGAAAAAUAUCAACAAAACCUUUGCCUCAAACUAGCGCAUCUAUUAUGGUGAGGCAAGACAGUCCCCAAAAGUACGUUGGCAGCUGGAGUCAAACGCCCCAAGAUUAGUUUCCUAGAGCUGACAUAACAAGGUACCACAAAUUGGGUAGCUUGAAAACAACAGAAAUUUAUUGCCUCUGAGUUCUGGAGGCUAGAAGUCUGCAAUCACGGGGUCAGCAGGGCCACACUCCCUCAUGAAACUUGCAGGGUAGACCCUUCCUUGCCUCUUCCUAGCCUCUGGUGAUUUGCCGGCAAUCCCUGGCUUACCUUGGCUUGCAGCUGCAGCAUUUCAGUCUCUGCCCCUCCUGUCCCACGACCAGUGUCUCUCAUGUCUGUCUGUGGCCAAAUUUCCUUCUUUUUAUAAAGACACCAGUUAUUAUUGGACUCAGGCCCACUCUAGUCCACUUUGUCUUCAUCUUUAAUCACAUGUUCAAAGAUCCUAUUUCAAAUAAGGUCAUCUUCAUGGGGCCAGGGGCUAGGACUUGAACAUGUCUUUUGGGGGAUGCAAUUCAACCCGUAACAACCCUCGUCCUUUAUUCUUCUGCAGCUAUGAAUCCACUUAAGCCUUGAGACCAGUGCGUUCUUGUGGUUAGGGCAUUUGGUAUUCAAGUCAUUUCCAUAUCACUGUUAUUUUCCUAAUUAGACUAUAAGCUUUAUCAGGGAGGGAUUGUGUCUGUUAACAGAGUUCUGUAAAAGGCAGUGCUUCACAAAUGUGCCUUGUUGACAUACCAGCGCUUUGGGGAUCAUGGAUAUAGGAAGGCAUUGAGGGGGGAGUGUGGGCUUUGGAAGCAGCCCAUCUGCACUUGAAGUCAGGCUCCCCCCAGCUACAUCACUCUAACCAAGUUACUUUAACGUAUCCAAGCCUUAGUUUCCACCUCUGUAAAAAUGGGAUGACCAACAAUAGCAUCUACUUUCAUUAUAGGGGUUGGGGGGAGGGAAUUAAAAGAGAUAGUCCUUUGUAAAGCAUGUAGACAGUGCCUGGAAGGUAAUUAACUAGCCCUACUUUCCUAGGAGGCACUUUUUGGACUUUCCCAACCCCUGAUCCCUGAGGUGUUGCCAAAAUACAAUGGCAAAUAUAGUGUUAAAAUGUUUGUGGGUGGGUGAGGAAUGAGGGAAAGGGGUAGAUACUCUUUUAAAGCCAAGUAAUGCAGUGUUAUAUUGGAGGUGGGGCAGUUAAUAAUAGGAAAUAGGGAGAAAUCUGACAUAUUACACACCUGUAAAAUGGAGUAAACAGAUGGGGAGGGGUUGAGGAAACUGCCUGGGGCUGCAAUCCACCACCAUCUACUUAACAGAGCUAUAAAUAAAUGUUUCAGAAAAAAAAAAAAAGAGGAUACACGGAGGGUAAAGAUGCCCACUGUAUAUCUAAUUCAAAGAGAGUUAUCUCUUUUAUAUUUAUUUAUCUCACCAGAAUUUCUCCAUAAUUCUAUAUAGUUACAGGCAUUAUAGAAAUGGAAGAUACAGCAAGUUCUUGCCAUUCACUCACACAGACAUUCACAUGCACACACACAUACUCAAAUUAGAACAUCUCUAUCCUUAAAUCAAUGCAAAGAUCACAAUACUAGCCUGGCCUAUAUAGAAACACAUUGUAGAACCUGUUAUUUAUAGUCAUGUGUACAUGUUAUUACUCAUUUCUAAGCAUCCUGAUACAAAGAUGAUGUUCCUUUGAGUCUGGAAUAAAGUACCCCUAUUCUUUCUUUGUUGUCUGAUGCAGUUGUGUUUAUGCCCCAAAUGAAUUUUGAUGGGCUGAGACCAAGAUAACAAUGUUCAGCUAUAUGCUUUGCAUAUUUAUAUAUAAACAAAAAAGUGCAGAUGUGUACACUCAUGUAUAUCCAAAAUUGCAUUUUCCAUAAGCCAACUUUUCCUUCACAGUGAAAGUUCAUACCUGUUAAGUGUAGUGAAGUCUCUUGGUAAUCAAUCCAAUAGCUGUUAACCCUUUCAUUUUUAGCAAUAAAACCCCCCAAUUAAAACUAAAUUUCCCAGCUUCCCUUGCAGCUAGGUGUAUCCAUAUUAAAAGUUCUGGGCAAUGAAAUAUCAGUAGAGGUGUUUUGUGGCAGUUUAUAGGAAACCCCCUUUCAAAAUAAUUGACAUACAUUUUUAUCUUUUUCUUCUUUGUCCCUUUCUACUGUCUGGACUAUGGGUGUGAUGAUUGGAGCUUGGGCUGGCAUAAUGGACCACAAGGAUGGAAGCUACAGUAUAGGGAUAUUGGAGAGGUAGCCCUACUUUAGGAUUAUUGGAUUUGGGAUUCCUGGGGUCAAAUCUCUCACCAAGUCUGGCACAUAGUAAGCCCUCAAAUAUUUUUUGAAUGAAUAAAUGAUGAAUGACCAGUACCCCAUAGGACUGGGGGAAGAAGAGAGUGAAUUGAGAGAAUUUGGAGUCAUGGUGGUCAUCACCCUCAGUGAGGACGCCUCAGAGCACCCAGUGCUGUAACCCCAGUGUGGUGCUGCCCUGGACCUUGCUGGGACAUUAUACAGUUUAUGCACCAUUUUCUAAAUUCUGAAAAUUUCUGAAUUCCAAAUCACAUCUGGCCCCAAGGAUUUCAGAUCCGGGCUUAGCUGUCUGCAGUGGAUUCCCUGGGAAACAGUCUCCAAAUCAGAGCUGUGCCUGCUGGAAGCUUCCUGGGGAAUGUGGUGGGAUCCACUCCUAUAAAGGAGUGAAGGAAGCAGGGCUGGGCAGAAGGAGAAAUUGAGCUGCAGUGCAGCCUCAGUAGAUGCUUCAGCCAACCCGGACUGGCAGGAUGCUCUAGAACUGGGAGGUCCCUUCAGAGUUAAAUGAACUAAGGCAAGGGGGCUUGGCCAUUACACCCCCACAUCAAUUAGGCAUUGAGGCAGACUGUCCCUGAGGAGGGCUUAAGCUUGGGUGCGGCAGCUCCCUCUGGCUGAGGGAAUUUCUGUGAGCUGAGGGCAGCCACCACUCCAGGGGACUGGGGAAAUGAGUGCCUCUGUCCUGAAUGGGGAAUCUUGGUGGAGAAUCACUACAUCUACUGCAGUUCGAUCCUUGCCCUGCUGGGGACCACUUACUUUGUAUAAUAAAUUUAUUAUAUGCAAACUGUGA